CCUACGGGUGGCAGCAGUGAGGAAUAUUGGUCAAUGGGCGGAAGCCUGAACCAGCCAAGUAGCGUGCGGGAUGAAGGCCCUACGGGUCGUAAACAGCUUUUGCACGGGGAUAACACCCUCCACUUUCGGAGGUCUGCAGGUACCGUGCGAAUAAGUGCCGGCUAAUCCCGUGCCAGCAGCCGCGGUAAUACGGAGGGCCCGAGCGUUAUCCGGAUUCACUGGGCGUAAAGGGAGCGUAGGCGGGCGUUCAAGUCAGCUGUAAAAUCGCGCGGCUCAACCGCGCCCCGCAGUUGAAACUGGAUGCAUUGAGUGCACAACAGGCAGGCGGAAUGCGUGGUGUAGCGGUGAAAUGCAUAGAUAUCACGAGGAACCCCGAUUGCGAAGGCAGCCUGCCGGGGUGCGACUGACGCUGAGGCUCGAAGGCGCGGGUAUCAAACAGGAUUAGAUACCCUUGUAGUC
rnacentral:rRNA from 1 species